UAUGAGUGUGUCUCUGCUACAUCAUUGGAAACGCCUCAUAGCAUAACUAUGUAGCUCCUUUACUCACAGAGCUACAUGUUAGAUCUGUGGGAAAGAACUACAAGACAGAG
ensembl:snoRNA